rnacentral:rRNA from 1 species
CGAACGCUGGCGGCGUGCUUAACACAUGCAAGUCGAGCGGUAAGGCCCUUUCGGGGGUACACGAGCGGCGAACGGGUGAGUAACACGUGGGUGACCCGCCCUCAGCUCUGGGAUAAGCCUGGGAAACCGGGUCUAAUACUGGAUAUGACUCCAUGACGCAUGUUGUGGGGUGGAAAGCCUUGUGCGGCUGAGGAUGGGCCCGCGGUCUAUCAGCUUGUUGGUGGGGUGAUGGCCACCAAGGCGACGACGGGUAGCCGGCCUGAGAGGGCGACCGGCCACACUGGGACUGAGACACGGCCCAGGCUCCUACGGGAGGCAGCAGUGGGGAAUCUUGCGCAAUGGGCGAAAGCCUGACGCAGCGACGCCGCGUGAGGGAUGACGG